rnacentral:rRNA from 1 species
UACGAAGGGGGCUAGCGUUGCUCGGAAUGACUGGGCGUAAAGGGCGCGUAGGCGGCUUGGACAGUCAGGCGUGAAAUUCCUGGGCUUAACCUGGGGGCUGCGCUUGAUACAUCUAGGCUUGAGUGGGGAAGAGGGUCGUGGAAUUCCCAGUGUAGAGGUGAAAUUCGUAGAUAUUGGGAAGAACACCGGUGGCGAAGGCGGCGACCUGGUCCUUGACUGACGCUGAGGCGCGAAAGCGUGGGGAGCAAACAGG